GACGAACCGUGCGAACGUUGUUCGGAAUCACUGGGCUUAAAGGGCGCGUAGGCGGGCCGCCAGGUCCGGGGUGAAAGCCUCCAGCUCAACUGGAGAAGUGCCUUGGAUACCGGCGGCCUCGAGGGAGGUAGGGGCGUGCGGAACUUCGGGUGGAGCGGUGAAAUGCGUAGAUAUCCGAAGGAACACCGGUGGCGAAAGCGGCGCGCUGGAUCUCUUCUGACGCUGAGGCGCGAAAGCCAGGGGAGCAAACGGG
rnacentral:rRNA from 1 species